rnacentral:lncRNA from 13 species
GCCCAGCCCUGCUGGGGGCUUUCAUGACCCCCAGAUGCUCUGCUCCUCCCAGGCCCACUAAGUUGGGUAAGGGUAGGAGGCAGCUGUCCCAGGUGUGAGAGGCCUUGCCUCCCAGUGCCUGACUUUCUUGUAUUUCACAGGGACAUUUGCACACCUGGGCUGUGCUGGCCAGGACGUGGCCGCCGUGCAGAGAUCUAUUUCCACUGCCUCGCAGACGAUGGACCGGGUGCAUCUUCAGAGCCACGGUGGAGCAGGCCACGUGGGCACGCAGGUCUAUUUUUCAAACAAUUGAUGAGUUCCACAGCGACGUUCGCAGCCGUACAUCACCCACUGCCGCACUGUGGGGCUUUCCGAUUCUCCUCCCACCUGUAAAAUUCCACAGCCGACAGCUGGGAAUGGGGAAUGCUCUCUCGAAAACACUCAUUCAGGGCUUACUGAGGUCGUCAAUCAGUUAUUUUCAGAUGUCAACUUUGAAGGUGAAAGGGGGACGGUCAGAAAGCAGGACCCUCAUUGGGAAAGUGGGGGGCAGGCUAGGGUAGCGGGGUCUGUCACCCCAGGAGCUGGAGCCUAGAUGACCCCAAGUCUUCCAAGCUGGUCUGAGGGGUUCCUGCUCGUUCUCCAGAUCUGCUGAGACGGGUUCGGGGUUGCCAGGGUCCCUCAGCGGAAUCUGCUGCAGGGGUCAGAGGCCUGGAUGUGACCAGGCGGCCAGAGCCUAGUGCACCUGAGAGAGUCAAAUCCACUUCGCGGCGACGUAGACUCCUGCCAGGGAGGGCUGUUUGCCCCUUUCCUGCUGCCCCUCUCCCCAAAACCGGAGCCUGAAGUGGCUGCCCUGAGGCCUUCGCCAGUGUGUGGCAGGUGCCUCCAGUGUGUGGAGCCAGCCGGGUCAGAGUGUGCGGGAAGCCUGGGCUGGGUGAAGUCUGUGUCAGGGAUUCCACCGCUGGCAGCCGGCUGACAGCCAAGCCCUGCUUGUCUAAUUAAAACGAAAACCCCUUCCAAGAGCCCAGCACCGAGUGAGCCUCCUGCCCCCAAGAGCUCCUGCACCAGGGAAGGGGCUGCUCAGAGCCCAGGCCCCAGUCUGGGACUUGAAGUUACCCAGGAAGAGUAGUGGCCAGUUAUUCCCAGGAUGGACUGGAGGCUGGUGUGGGGAUGACUCAGGAAAAGCCACUGCUCGAGGGCCCCCAGCCCAGCAAGGUGCCCGGGAGGCAGGGCAGGCAAGCUGGAGUGUGUGGGGUGUGUCAGGAGGUGGCGUGGCGGCUGCACUGAGCUAGCUGGGCGCUGCAGAGACUAGGCUUGGAGACAGCAGGGGUCAGAGGGCUGGGCCUGGGCCCUGCUUCCCACGAGCUGGCCCCUCUGGUCUCCCUGGGACACCUGCAGGGAGGCUGGCCCAGCUGAGGGGCAGCUGGGAGAAGCAGCUGCAGGAACAUGCCGUGGGCCGUGUACACAGGUGAACAGGCUUCUUCAGGGCAGUGUAGGAGGGGAGGUUCCCAGGAGCAAGGAGGCCUGGCUGCGCUCCUCAGGCCCCUCGACUCCUGUGUCCCC